ACCAAGGGCACAUUUGUUUAAUCACAAAUACAGAAAAACAGUAAUAUUGUGAAAUAUUUUUACAGUUCAAAAUAACAGUUUUCUAUUUAAACAAAUUAAAAUGUAAUUUAUAUCUGUUAAAUUUAAUUUAAUUUUAGCAUCAUUACUCCAGUCUUCAGCAUCAAAUGAUCCUUCAGCAAUCAUUUAAAUAUGCUGAUUUGGAAGAAAUAUUUUGUACUAUUAUUAAUGUUGAAAACAGUGAAAACAUUUGUCACGAAGUGACUUUGAGGGCGGAACCAAAGUGAGAGGAGAAGUUCCGCCCGGACCAGAAAUGUGUAAGCCCUUGUCACUUCCGGGAAAACCCCGAACGCUCCAAAUCAAGGGAAAUCUGCAGCAGGUGUGUCCAAUGAUGUGGCGAUUGCAGACAGGGCAGUUCAUGGGUAUAAAGAGGGCAUCGAGGAUACAGGAAGGUGUGUCCAAUGAUGUGGCGAUUGCAGACAGGGCAGUUCAUGGGUAUAAAGAGGGCAUCGAGGAUACAGGAAGGGGUGUUGUUUUUGGCCUCCCAAGGAACGCCACGAGUGGGACGGAGUGUUUGGGCGCUGGAGUAGGGCGAAGCAGAUGAGAGUAAUUGUGGAGUCGCUAAGCGAAUUGGAGGAUUUGAAAACGGCCACUGGAACAGGUUUGCCAAAGUGAAGUUGAUGGAGAGAAGUCGUACUCACUCGUGUCUGUUGUACGAAGGUGCCGUAGAGAAAUAGUGACAUUGUGGAACAACGAAGACCUUUCUGGGCGUCUGCACGAAGCUGGGGAGAGAAAGAGAGCGGGAGGAGACCAGUAUUACGAAGACUGUGAGUACAUUGGAUUGCUUAGAUUGUUGUGUAUAUCUGGAUGAGAAAGAGAGCGGGAGAGGACCAGUAUCACGAAGAUUGUGAGUACAUUGGAUUGUUUACAUAUUCCUUGCUCAUACUUGGAUGUGGAUAACCAAUACCUGUUGGAGUGAUUAACAGCUUGUUGAGCGGCCCCAUCGUUGGAGGACGAGACGAGUGGGUGAGCCGAAGUAGAGCGUGGGUGAAUGGAUGUUAUUUGGCUGUGGCCACACCGUAAAGUUUGGAACACUUACCGUGACAGCGACUGCAAAUUCCUCCAGGACGAAAUCCGACCGGGUGUGGAGUACCGACCUUAAAAAUCACUGAAGUGUGUGUAGUGCAGUGGGUGAGUCUGUCUUUGACGUGUGUGCACUAAAGCUUUGCAGUGCUGUGCCGUGUCCCUGUUGUCUGUACUUGCCCUCCAGGCCGAGAAGGUUCCUGUUGGAAAGAACGUACUUGCCUGUCUGUACGAGCUAAAAGCUAUUGUCCUUGAAUACGCUCUGUAAGCCCAGCGUGAAGAUACAGUCACUUGUUGAAUACUUGCCUGUCUGUACGAGCUAAAAGCUAUUGUCCUUGAAUACGCUCUGUAAGCCCAGCGUGAAGAUACAGUCACUUGUUGAAUACUUGCCUGUCUGUACGAGCUAAAAGCUAUUGUCCUUGAAUACGCUCUGUAAGCCCAGCGUGAAGAUACAGUCACUUGUUGAAUACUUGCCUGUCUGUACGAGCUAAAAGCUAUUGUCCUUGAAUACGCUCUGUAAGCCCAGCGUGAAGAUACAGUCACUUGUUGAAUACUUACCUGUCUGUACGAGCUAAAAGCUAUUGUCCUUGAAUACGCUCUGUAAGCCCAGCGUGAAGAUACAGCUACUUGUUGAAUACUUAUCCGCCUGCACGAGUUAAAAGCCAUUGUUCUGGAACACGCUCAGUAAGCCUAGUGUGAAGAGUCAGUCACUUUGCUCAAUACCUAUCUGUGUUACGAGUAAAAAGUUACUCGCUUCGGAUAUACCGGGGGACAUCCAGGGGCAUGGCCUAGUUACCUUGCUACAUCCUUACCGUUGUUACUUACCUGUGCCCUCAGGGAUUUGUGUGUCACCUUAUACUUACCUAGGAGGUCUAUGGGAGUGGAGGAGCUGUCCAGACGCUGGUGAAGUACAACCCAAAGAGCAAAGAAGCUAGGAACAAGGCAUUCUUCUCCGUUUUAUCUAUUACUCAUUGUGUGUUCUGUUGCCUUCAGGAGAAGAGAAGGGCGCCACGGGAAAUCAAGCCGCUAAGGAAGGACUUAGGAUUAGUCAGGAGACUGGUAGAAGUUCUGGGAAAGGACGAAAGAGCCCUUUGCCCCCCUCCCCUUGUGAUUACUUACCAAAGACCUCCAGAGUUCUCAGGCUCAGUUCCCUCCUGCCAAGAGACGAAGAUCAAAAUUUUAGAUUCCCCUUUUCUCCUUUCCUAGAUUACCUUUUUAAAUAAUUUAAAUAAAGUUUAGUUUUUAAACUUACCCUUUAACUUAUUCUUGUUGGGCGUGACUCGCAACACCUGUGGUCCGCUCCGACCUGUGACAGAUUUUGGCGUAGUCGGCAGGGUUCCACCUCGAGUG
rnacentral:lncRNA from 1 species